CCUGCAGCUUCAGCACGAGCUGUGCGGGUGUCCGCGCAGGUGCGCUGAUUGGAAGGUGCACACCUGCGCAUCAUGCAGCCUGAUUAUGCUGUGGAUUUAUAUGACCGCGAUGACAACUGGCCGGCGCCAGUUCGCAUGAUCUUCAUGUCCCGUUCGUGUGCUCCGGUAUCCCUGAUCGAACCUGUGUAUACCGACCUUCGCCCGUUCUCCGACCACCCUUAGUUCCUGCAUUUGGGUCCUACUCUCGUUCCGAUGGGACGUGACAGAUAGAUAGAUUUACAGUACAAAAAUAGGGUUGCGGGGAGUGCUGGAGCCUAUUCCAGCUGUCAACGGGCAGGAGGCGGGGGACAACCUGAAGUGGUUGCCAGCCAAUUGCAGGGCACAUUAAGCGAAAAAACAGCUGCACUAAAAAUAGCACUUAGGGGCAAUUUAGAGUGUUCAAUUAACGUUGCAUGUUUGCAUGUGGGAGGAAACCAGAGUUGCCUGGAGAAAACCCACACAGGCACAGGGGUAGAACAUGCAAACUCCACACAGGCGGAGCCGGGAUCGAAACCGGGUCCUCAGAACUGUGAAGCCAACGUUUUACCAGCUGAUACACCGUGCUGCCGAGGAUGAAAAUGAAGGCAAUUAUAGUUCAGGAGGCUGUAUCUACCAGACAGACGUAAAGUACGUAUGCAACAGCACUGUGGAUCAGUGUUUUCUUCCCAAAAUAAGAUAACGUGCACACUCUUCUUUAAUCCUAUCUAUUAUUCACCAUGAGCAGGUGGGGCAGGGUGCAGAACUACAGCGAUGAAUGAAAGGAGAUGUGUGCAUGUUUGGUUGAGAUUGAUUAACAACAAAGGAUCACCCCUCCACCCCCACAAUCCUGUGUGUAGCUCUUCCGCUUGCUCUUGACCAAUGAAUGAAAAUUAUGCAGCGAGCCGUUGAGCUGAAGUACGAGCCAGACAAAGACGACAAUGAAGGGGGUGGCCCUAAGUCUUGCUUCAAGGUGGACUUGUGUCCAUACAUGCACCAAAUACCGGUAUCAGUACAGUACUGAGUGGGAGGAAGCCAAAGCACGAGAGAAACGUGCAAACUCCACACUGAAAGGCUGCAACAAAGAAUGAGGCAGGCAUUCUACUCACUACACUACAGUGCUUCUUGUUAACCAAUGAUGACAAAGAUGUACUCAUCUUGAAGAUAUGACCAAUCACAACAAUGCAGAAAUGAUA